GACGAACGCUGGCGGCGUGCUUAACACAUGCAAGUCGAGCGGUAAGGCCCUUUCGGGGGUACACGAGCGGCGAACGGGUGAGUAACACGUGGGUGACCUGCCCUCAGCUCUGGGAUAAGCCUGGGAAACCGGGUCUAAUACUGGAUAUGACUCCAUGACGCAUGUUGUGGGGUGGAAAGCCUUGUGCGGCUGAGGAUGGGCCCGCGGCCUAUCAGCUUGUUGGUGGGGUGANGGCCUACCAAGGCGACGACGGGUAGCCGGCCUGAGAGGGCGACCGGCCACACUGGGACUGAGACACGGGCCCAGACUCCUACGGGAGGCAGCAGUGGGGAAUCUUGCGCAAGUGGGACGAAAGCCUGACGCAGCGACGCCGCGUGAGGGAUGACGGCCU
rnacentral:rRNA from 1 species